rnacentral:tRNA from 1 species
GGUAGGGUGGCCGAGAAUGAGGCGGCGGACUGUAGUCCCGCAAAGGGGGGAGAAAUACCUCCGUCUACC